AUUAAAAAGGUUCCUCACCCCUGCUUUUGAGGAAAAACAUCAAUGUGCUUGGCCACUCUGGUUUUUAAAUUAUUCUGAACUAAAGCAAGGAUUGUUCAAGGAAGUUCAAAACAGACUGUCUCUGGUUAAAUUAGUUCUACACCAAGCCUUUAGGUGGCAGUACAACUAAUUCGCACAAUGCGAAUUCCACACACAAGCCACAAAGAAGCCAUCUACCGCGGUCAACAACACCGACCUAUCUGAACAGAAUCACGCGCUGUCUGUGUGGUUUCACUGUUACAAGUUUCUUGGCGACAUGGGGGAAAGUUCCUCACAUACCAACGGAAAAUGGGCUUCACAUACAUGCUGCUGUCUCAUAAUAUGGCGAAGACGAGUCACUUGAAGGCCUAACAGCUCUUAUGAGGAGCAGUCUUGCCAUAGAAGACUGAAAGAAUGAGCUGUAGAAACAACAGGGUGCCUGCUGCAGUAUGACGAGGACGCCCUGAUCAUAGAAGGUCCAGUGUCUUGGCAGGGUGAAAUGGCACUGAUAUCGGUAUGUGGUGAUAUCAGUUAAAAUUAAUGAAUUAAUUCUCAUAUCUGAAUAAUGUGAACACUGGAUUUACCACACACUCACACACACCCUAGUCCUAGAUGAUACAACCAAGGUUACUUUUACCACAGCUCUGGCACUGCAUCAAAUUUCUUUUCUUUUUUAUAGAACUGGACAGGUCAUUUAUUCGUUCCCCUUGUUUUUUGCAGUGUCCUGCAGGAUGCUGUGUCCUGCAAUCCUGUGUGCUGUGCUACAGACGCGUGUGGAGGUCAACCCGAAAUGGGCACA